rnacentral:rRNA from 1 species
GAUGAACGCUGGCGGCGUGCCUAAUACAUGCAAGUCGAGCGGCAGCACGGUCUUCGGACUGGUGGCGAGCGGCGGACGGCUGAGUAACGCGUAGGAACAUGCCCCAAAGUGAGGAAUAACUGCCCGAAAGGGUGGCUAAUGCCGCACGUGGUCUUCAGACUAAAGCUUUAUGCGCUUUGGGAGUGGCCUGCGUCCGAUUAGCUUGUUGGUGAGGUAAUGGCUCACCAAGGCGACGAUCGGUAGCUGGUCUGAGAGGAUGAUCAGCCAGACUGGAACUGAGAACGGUCCAGACUCCUACGGGAGGCAGCAGUAGGGAAUUUUCCACAAUGGGCGAGAGCCUGAUGGAGCAACGCCGCGUGCAGGAUGAAUGCCUUCGGGUUGUAAACUGCUUUUAUAUGAGAAGAUAAUGACGGUAUUAUAUGAAUAAGCACCGGCUAACUCCGUGCCAGCAGCCGCGGUAA